CAGACAUGUAGGAUUGAAGAGCGUCAGAAUCAGACAGUAGAUAUAGAUGAGAUCAGACUCUGGAGAAAUCUCUUCAUCACAUCAGGAAUAAUAAACUGUGUUGUGAUUGUUGGAGUCACAGUCUCGAUCGUAAGCUGCUGUGGAAAAAACAACAAAUCACCAAACUGUGAUGUGAAGCUUCAAGAAGUCAGUGGAUCACAGAGCUGGUGGCCAAAAGCACAAAACAAAAACAGCUACACUGUGGUGGAGUUUAUUCUGUUUCAGAAU